AUGGAUGAAGCGAAGAAAGAUCUUUAUGAAGGAUGUAGUGAUUUCACACGGCUGUCGUUCAUUAUUAAGCUCCUCUAUAUCAAAUCAUACAACCGGAUUACAAACAGAGCAUUUAAUCAGUUUGUUGAGCUGAUUAGUGUGGCGUUUCCACAUGCUGAUAUACCUAAAUCAUACACUGAAGCUAAGAAUGUUCUUAGUGAAGUCGGGCUGGGUUACGAGACAAUUCAUGUUUGCAAGUUUGAUUGUGCAUUGUUUUGGGGCCAACAUGCCAACAAGAGUCAUUGUCCUGAAUGCGGGACAUCAAGAUGGAAAGACGAGGUGGGGAGGAAAAAGAUACCUCACAAGGUACUUUGGUACUUUCCUAUCAUCCCAAGGCUUCAAAGAUUUUUUGUGUCAAAGGAACAAUCAGCAGAUGCAAGGUAG
rnacentral:rRNA from 1 species